rnacentral:rRNA from 1 species
UGGGGAAUAUUGGACAAUGGGCGAAAGCCUGAUCCAGCAAUGCCGCGUGAGUGAUGAAGGCCCUAGGGUUGUAAAGCUCUUUUACCCGGGAUGAUAAUGACAGUACCGGGAGAAUAAGCUCCGGCUAACUUCGUGCCAGCAGCCGCGGUAAUACGGAGGGUGCGAGCGUUCUCCGGAUUUACUGGGUUUAAAGGGUGCGUAGGUGGGCUUAUAAGUCAGUGGUGAAAUCUCCGAGCUUAACUUGGAAACUGCCGUUGAUACUAUAGGUCUUGAAUUAUCUGGAGGUAAGCGGAAUAUGUCAUGUAGCGGUGAAAUGCGUAGAUAUGACAUAGAACACCAAUUGCGAAGGCAGCUUACUACAUAUAAAUUGACGCUGAGGCACGAAAGCGUGGGGA